UGCGCUCAGCUUGUAAUUGGGUCUCAAUUAUUUCCUCAGAAAUAUCUUGGGGCAAGGGACGCUUAGCAGUAUUUAUGCUAAGAUGAUCACUGAGCUCCCGACGCCUCUGCCGUCCUCCUGUGACGGAUGAUAAACCUCAGCAAUAGGAGCUGGGGGAUCACUAGGGUUGGGGGAGUCCGGGGCCGGUUGGUUGAGACUGGCUUCGGAAUUACCAGGGGAAGUGCUUCCAAAUAAAUCAGUCCACCUGAAGCCCCUUCCUCAAGCGCUCUCACCUGAUCCUGAGCAAGAGGCCCCCGAUGGAGCCAUCAUCAUCUAAUUUUCCAGAUCAAUACCCACAAAAAUCAUUGUAAGUAGGAAACCUCCAGAAUACCAGCCGAAUCGACUAACAACCAAGUGAACAAGAAUUCGUUGGUAUAAGCGCCACAAUAAGAUCUCAAAAUUUAGACCAUGUCAAGAUAUCAAAGUUACGGGGUCAUUUUACCGAGUUCCUUCGACAUGGUUCUCUCAAGCGCCCUAGUAUACUCUACUUGUUCACCUGUGUGGGUUUGGGGUGCCAUGUAAGUCAUCAAUAUAUCAAAGUUACGGGGUCAUUUUACCGAGUUCCUUCGACAUGGUUCCCUCAAGCGCCCAAGUAUACUCUACUUGUUCACCUGUGUCGGUUUGGGGUACGGUCAGUUCACAGGGAGGAUCGCCCUCCCAAUUCGAAGUUUUUUCCUGGAAGUUUCGACCUUGUUGACUAUGACAACAGUCGCGACUAAAAACAGACUUGUGACUAUGGCAGGGCGGUACGAUCUGCUCUCUCGCGACCCCUACUCUAAUCAAUAGAUUAAAGGCCCCUACUGAAGAUAGGUCGCCAAACUACGACCGAGAGUUUCGCCUUUUGCAGCGCCAGUCGCGUAGGGCGACCGGGCCAUGCCGAGUCAGAAAGGCUUUGAUGACUCAAGGUUCAUAUAAGGAAAGGAGAGUGAGGGGAAGAGGGGACAGCCCUCGGCCCGAUUAUCCCAUUCGCUCCAACAGACAGGCAUGGUUCUGUAGUCAAAGCAACUUCGUCACUUUCGUGUACCCAUCAGAGGGCAGCCCUUUCGGAGGUUCCUUAGGGACUGAUUCACUCUGUGUAGAUUGACUAAACGCAGAAAACCUUCCACUGGCAGGCGAUCGUAUUUUUCACAGGAUUUUUUGUUACUCAUGUCAGCAUUCUCACUUCUGAUAUCUCCAGGUCUUGUCACCAAAAAUCUUCCCCGAUUGACAGAACGUUCCGCUACUGACACUUGAAAAAGCAGCUUUCAAGGUCUCGUCGCUUCGGUGAUCACUUGAGCCCUGAUACAUUUUCGGUGCCAUGGAGCUAGACCAGUGAGCUAUUACGCUUUCUUCAAAGGAUGGCUGCUUCCAAGCCCACCUCCUGGUCUCGUCGCUUCGGUGAAUCACUUGAGCCUUGAUACAUUUUCGGUGCCAUGGAGCUAGACUAGUGAGCUAUUACUCUUUCUUCAAAGGAUGGCUGCUUCCAAGCCCACCUCCUGGUUGUCACCGUACGAUCACUUCCUUUUCCACUAAGUGAUUGCUCAGGGACCUUAGCGUACGAUCUGGGCUGUUUCCCUCUCGACUUUGGAUCUUAGCACCCAAAAAGUCUAUCUGUAUAAACGAUCUAGGCCUAUAUUCGGAGUUUCAUUGGGGUUGGUAAGGUGAAAUGAGGCCACCCUAGCCCAUUGAGUGCUCUACCUCGGGCCAUCGAUAUUAUACGUUCUACUGAAAUAGAUUUCACGAAAAACCAGCUAUAUCCGAUCUUGGUUGGCCUCUCACCCCUUGCCACAAGUCAUCCCCGUAUUUUGCCACAUACGUGGGUUCGGUCCUCCAAGGCCGGUUAGAUCUCUCUUCAACCUGCUCAUGGCUAGAUCGAUCGGCUUAGGGUCAAAUAGGAAGAACUAGAAGAUUCCACCUCUGGAAAGCGCCUACACCUAGUGGCUUAAGCCGCUGUUCCCAUUUCCUCGCUGACCCAUCAUGCAAAAGGUACGCCAUUAGAGUGAGUGCGCUUUACAUAAAGUAAAGGCUCUAAGCUCUGCUCCUUCGACUGAUUGUUCGCAUCCGAUCUCAGGUUCUCUAUUGCACUCCCUAAAUAGGGUUCUUUUCACCUUUCCGUCACGGUACUUGUACGCUAUCGGUCAUUGAGGAAUACUUAAGCUUACAUGCUUUACAUAAAGUAAAGGCUCUAAGCUCCGCUCCUUCGACUGAUUGUUCGCAUCGGAUGUCAGGUUCUCCAUUGCACUCCCUAAAUAGGUUCUUUUCACCUUUCCCUCAUGGUACUUGUACGCUAUCGGUCAUUGAGGAAUACUUAGGCUUAGAGGGUGGUCCCCCUUUCUCGCGUAAAAGCGAUCAGAAUUCAAAUACGUCGCGUUUUACUGGGAAGGAUCGAACCAUGGGAACGAAUCUACAGGGCUAUCACCUUCUUUGGCCAGAUCUUCCAAUCUUUCACAAUUACAGUUCACUACGCCCGCUCCUUUAAAAGGCGACGGCUUGAAAGCUUACCUUAUUAUUAGAGAAAGGUUUGGAACCCUAAGCAACGUUUUGGAUUUUGGAGUUUUCGCCCCAACCUAGGUUAGGGUGUCAUUAGACCGUAGCUUGCUGCUGAAAAACGUUGCUAGGCUAGCGCGGCUCACUUCGCUCUUCAAGCUCCGCCCCCUUACUCAACCUCAACAUAAUCAGAAUUCGAACACGCCGCGUUUUACUGGGAAAGAUCGAACCAUGGGAAUGAAUCUACAGGGCUAUCACCUUCUUUGGCCAGAUCUUCCAAUCUUUUCACAAUUACAGUUCACNNNNNNNNNNNNNNNNNNNNNNNNNNNNNNNNNNNNNNNNNNNNNUCUUUUCACAAUUACAGUUCACUGCGCCCGCUCCUUUAAAGGGCGGCGGCUUGAAAGCUUACCUUAUUAUUAGAGAAAGGUUUGGAACCCUAACCAACAUUUUGGAUUUUGGAGUUUUCGCCCCAACCUAGGUUCGGGGGUCGUUAGAUCGUAGCUUGCUACUGAAAAACGUUGCUAGGCUAGCGCGGCUCGCUUCACUCUCCAAGUCAGCCCCCCUUACUCAACCUCAACAUCUAUAAAAAGGCCCUUUCUCCUUCUCUAAAUAAAGUAAGCUUUGAAGCCGUAGCUUGCUGGUUUUUCCAUCUUCCAAUCCACAACAAAUCGAAUGAAACCUGGUGAAAAAGAAGUGAAUACUUUGCUGAAGAACGAAGCUUCGUGUUUGUUUUUCUUCAAACCCCCAAUCCGCUCUCCGCCGCUACUAACCGGGUCUCGGUUGAUUUCCCUUCCUUUAGCUACUAAGAUGAUUCAGUUCGCUAAGUUUGAAAAGUCCAAAGAGCACAGACUAACCACGGAGCUUGGAUACGAUUUCCCGAUCGGAGAUCCAUGGAUCACAGACGGUAUCUCCCUAUGGCCUUUCGCCUCUGAAAGCGUCCUUCCUUCUCAAUGCUCGGCAUCCAUCCAACGCAUUCUUUUCGAUCUUGUACCCUAUGUAUGCUUGCAAAGCAUAGGUGUCACAAGCGGUACACUGAACACCAACCCAAUCUCGACGAAAAAAAAGGAAAAGCAAGUACAUCCUCAACGGCCUCUAUUCCUGACGUGAACGGCCGCUUUACAAGUGAAUGGCCGCUUUCUUGGAACUAAUUCGUAGGCACUUUCCAUUAGUUAGACUUUACACACUAUAUAAACAAAUAGUUGAAGCGUGCGAUAGAAAGUGGAAAAAUGAAUUGAUUGACUAUUGAGUGCAUGCCCGUAAAUAGACGACUAUGGGUAGUUCAGGUGCUCUUAAACUCAACUACAACUAAAAGGCAUGCCGAUCUUGCCACCAACAAACCUUUGUCUUUGACAGUAAAAAGCGAAAAAUAGGCACACUAGAGGAGAAGAGUGAAAGCCACUUAACUAUAAGGAGAGGAGCUCUAAGUUGGAAUUCAAUAGUCUAAGAAAUGGUCAUUUGUGUGUAACAGCUACUGGUGUCAUCACCCUACAAAGAGGUGGUACCAACCAAGACUGAACACUAGCCCCAUUUUGUAGACGUGUUGGGACCGGCCUUCUAUCCCAGUGAACAAUGUUCCACAGAUUAGGCGAGGACAGGAUUCGAACCUGCAAUCUUCAGGUCAUGAGCCUGAUGAGUUGACCAAUUCCUCUACCCCGCUUCUUCCCCUUCUCUUUCGAACUCUGAAAACCAAGGUUCGACUUGCAUGUGUUAAGCAUAUAGUCUGAGUAGCAUGAUUGGAGCUUCUUAGCGCUUAGACGACUACCUAAAAGUAAGCUUUUCAUAUUUUAAAUCUUGCAUGUGUUAAGCAUAUAGUCUAGUAGCAUGAUUGGAGCUUCUUAGCGCUUAGGCCACUACCUAAAAGUAAGCUUUUCACUCUUUUCCUCUUACAUAACUUAGAUGGAGGAGAUAGAAAGCAAGACUUUCAACCCAAGGACAUAGCUUUGAUUGCUCAAGUUGCACUCUCAUAGUAUGCGUUUCGCUCUUUUCCUCUUACAUAACUUAGAUGGACGAGAUAGUGACCUUAACUUAGCGAACUGGCUUAGUAAAGUAGAAAUCAUUAGCUUUCAAUUGUUCAUUGUCAGCAGUGGAAGAGGGCGUAGCUUUGAUUGCUCAAGUUGCCCUCUCAUGGUUGAAUGUGAAAAAGAAUUGCUUUUGUUUAGCAACAGUCUUAUAAGGAUGAUGCUUCCCCUGUGCCUUAUCAAUAAUUAAUAAGGAAGACCGGGCUAAAGGUAACUACUUUUUGCUCACCCGGUGAAAGGCAUAGUAGGUCAAUAAUUAAUAAGGAAGACCGGGCUAAAGGUAACUAAUUUUUGCUCACCCAUUGAAGGCAUAGUAGGUAAAAAGGCUAUUGGUUGCUUCACUUCCUUAUCUCGGGUAGGUUAAAAAAGCUGCUAAGAAGAAAAGUUUUCUUUUCUCUUGUGACCUUCCACGCCAAGGAGGGUUGAAGCGAUCGAUCCCAAUAGCCUUUCACAAGGGGAAAGACCCAUUCUUUACAGCCGUUACGAAAGCUCCCGAAGAGAAAGAGGUCUUUGCUGCUUGGCUGCAUGAACUAGGUCCAGGUCUUGCAUUUGGCAUUCCCGCUGUUGACGUCCCAUUGAGUUAGCUAGUUAAGGGUGAAAGGGAUUUAGGAAUGAAUAGCAGGCAAAGUCAUUGCUAGGAAUUCCGGGUAACUUUCUGUAUUCCUUAAGGUUACAGGUGAAGCUGAAUUCCUGCGGUAGCCCCUUUGACCUUAGCCUCUUAAGGGUUGGGUUCUAGUGGCGAGCUCAUGGGUCGUCCGGACCCAUAUCUGGUAAAAGUGAUGGCCUGGUUGUCCCCACACCCCCUUAUCAAGCGUGUCUGUGGGAGCAGUUUGUGCUAGCAUUUUGGCGCUCGCCUUAUGGUUCUUAGUCCUCUUUCGCCAAGAUGCCCUUUAAAAAGAUUUUUUCCCGCAUCGGAACAAGACCUACUAUAAUAGAUUUAGCCAAUUCGGGUGCAGAUGGGGAUUCCCUAAUAGAUUCUACAGAUUCGGAUUUAGAUGCCCCUGCGCAUAAACAUAUGGAUAGGGAUGCCGAUUCAGAUGCGGCUAGAAAGGCUCGUUUGAGUGAUUCAUAAACCCUAGUCGGGAUAAACAAGCAAGGGUUUCAUCCUCUACUUAUGGGAAUGCUACUUCGAGAAAUGCUGCUUCAGGAUAAACUAGAUAUGUUGCGAGAGAAACUGUUCUAUCUUUCUCUUUUUGUUGUUCGGCUCGAUAGAAUUGCAUAGAAUCCUCUCCUAGCUUCCUCUUUCCAUAGAUAUGCAAACUAUAAAACAUCAAUCAAAGAGCAUGAUUGUUCUAAGAUAUAGAAGUAGUUAAGGGCUUGACUAAGUAGUAGAUAUGGGAUUGAGGGGCGCUUUCCAUAGAUAUGCAAACUAUAAAACAUCAAUCAAAGAGCAUGAUUGUUCUAAGAUAUAGAAGUAGUUAAGGGCUUGACUAAGUAGUAGACAUGGGAUUGAGGGGCGCAGGAGUAGGGUUUACAAAAAGAAGGCUCCGUUUGUACUCUAGAGGUAAUGCUCCUCCCGGCUUCCUUUCUAUUCUCACUCUCAUCCGAAUGAUGAAUGCAAUUGUAGUAGAAUCCCUUUCCCUUACUAGGUUUAGGAAUCCGCAAUUCUUCAAGAAGACGAAAUUAACCCGGAUCAAAAGAAAGCUUCUUAUCGAGAGACAGAUUACCGGAGAAAGCCCUAUAUUUGAUGGCUUUCACUACCCUUAGAGAAGAAGAGAAGAAAAGCCCUAGAGUAAGGGAAGGGAAGCCUCACAAUAAGAGAGNNNNNNNNNNNNNNNNNNNNNNNNNNNNNNNNNNNNNNNNNNNNNNNNNNNNNNNNNNNNNNNNNNNNNNNNNNNNNNNNNNNNNNNNNNNNNNNNNNNNNNNNNNNNNNNNNNNNNNNNNNNNNNNNNNNNNNNNNNNNNNNNNNNNNNNNNNNNNNNNNNNNNNNNNNNNNNNNNNNNNCCCUCAGUAAAGAAGAAGACAUCUAUCUAAUACCAUUCUUAUCUUUCUUAUCUUGAUCUAACGGCCUGGGAAGACCCAUAAAGAAAGAAAGAGACAACUCAAAGAGCAACUUCAACCUUAAGAGCAGAUAAUAGCAGCAGAUAUAUCGUUUUCUGUUUCCGCUCUAUCUGCCAAAGCAAAAUCCCGGUAAAGGGAACCCCGACCCUGAAAAUACCGUAUUCAUGUGCAACUAAUUCAAUAGGACCGGUUAUGAACCCAAGAGCGGAUAGGAGUACUCAUACUCAAGGACCGGAAGCUCUCACAGCGUUAAGGAAAAUAAUAACUCCUAUUUGAAGAAGAGCAUUUGCGAUCAGAGCUAAAAGAGUGGGAGGGAAUGAAAUAGCAAUAGCCGCUACUUCUGCCUGCGGCUAUCUUCUCCUAUUGAUUAAGCCCUUCAAAGGAAUUUUUUAUAUUUCUUCUUUCUAAAGGCAAGGCUAAGACAUCCGCCCUUCAUUGAAGGGUAAAAGGGGAUACAGUUCCUAAGCCCUUCAAAGGAAUUUUUUAUAUUUCUUCUUUCUAAAGGCAAGGCUAAGCCAUCUGCCCUUCAUUGCAGGGAAAAAGGGAGACGGUUCCCAAGGGGAGGCUAGUUCGAGUAUGAGAGACAGAUGCAGAUAAGGUCCUUUUUUCUGAGAGACCCGCUCUUGACUUUAAUCAUACCACUAGUAAGCGCAGUGGAUGCUCCUUCAUACAGGGCACAGAGGCAAGUGAUGGGCACUACUCAUCAUAAGAAAGCAGUCAUACAGAUAGAAAGAGUAAAAUAAUGACUCUGACUAAGUAAAGAGAUGAGGUUUUUAUUUUCUCAUCUAUUUUCCAUACCACAGCUCUAGACUUGUGCCCCUAUUUAAACUAUGUUUCAAUCAUACCACCCUUAUGGGUUGUUCGCAAUUCACAUUAAAGACCCUUUCCAAAGGAUGAGUACCUUGGCUCGGGUAGGUGGUGCUUGGUUCCAUGUCCUUGGCAGGCUCGACCAUCGGAGAUCCGUCCAUUACGAAUGUUUUUUCUCGAUGUGGACCAAGCUCCGACUUCCUUUUUAGCUUUGGCUCGGAAGAGGUCUGCCUUUGAGCCCGUAUUGAAAGGGGAUCUUGGUUUUCUUUAUUAUAAAAGAAACCCCAGGAGUUACGUCUUAUUCCCGAGGAGAUGUUUGAUCUCCCUAGUCUCGGGACUUCUUGUAAAGGACCCUUAUUUAUGGAAUGGGUAAUGUGUUAAAGGAUAGCUUAGGUACUGCAAUUGGUUUGGAACUACACUACCUUAAUUUCAGACAUCAAAGACAACACAGAAUCCAAGUCCAAGACUUGAGUGACUAGAUAACGUAUCCUUCUUGGCAGGGCAAACAACCUUUGCCAAGGUUCCGAAGGAAAGAUAGAUCUGAACUAACACAAUCACUAUAAUCAUCCCUCUUGUAUGUAUAUAAGUUUUUCGAUGAAAAGAGGGGAGUUCCGAAGGAAAGAUAGAUCUGAACUAACACAAUCACUAUAAUCAUCCCUCCUGUAUGUAUAUAAGUUUUUCGAUGAUAAGAGGGGAUUAUGAUACCUUAGGAGCGUGUCAGAAAGAUGGUUACGUGAACUGAGUAAUGGUUAAAUUCUUCGCCACAAGCCCUUUGAAGCGAGGAUGCACACUGCUUUAAAUAGAAAGCGCAAUGCAACAUCCCCGACGUCGUGUCGUCCUCAUUACCGUAAGGGCAAACAAGUAAGCUCCAAUACAUAACUCCUUAGUACGUCAGUGGCUAUCAAGAUCGCUUUGUUAAGCAGUGACCUUAAUAACCGAGAGUCUUCUAAAACUCUCUGCCCCAAACUAAAGAAUUGAAUUACCUUGCGCCGGUGUCAUUUUGCUUGAGUCGGGAACUCCUCUUUACCUUGAGACAGGUAUUCCUUCUUAUAGAUAUCACCGAAAAAGCAGAAGACUAAGAAGACUUUAUCUCGCCCACGCCCAGGAAAGAAAAGAUCAGAUCAGCAACGGCUUUCGAGUAGAGGAUUUUUUUGCUUUUCAUUAUUCCCUCGGAGUUGAGUUAUAGUUGACNNNNNNNNNNNNNNNNNNNNNNNNNNNNNNNNNNNNNNNNNNNNNNNNNNNNNNNNNNNNNNNNNNNNNNNNNNNNNNNNNNNNNNNNNNNNNNNNNNNNNNNNNNNNNNNNNNNNNNNNNNNNNNNNNNNNNNNNNNNNNNNNNNNNNNNNNNNNNNNNNNNNNNNNNNNNNNNNNNNNNNNNNNNNNNNNNNNNNNNNNNNNNNNNNNNNNNNNNNNNNNNNNNNNNNNNNNNNNNNNNNNGCAUUCCCUAUAGCAAAGAAAUGAAAUCACAUCUCAUUAAAAAGGCAGGGAUUUUCUUUUUAAUUUAGGAUCUUUCUUAUUUAACUUUAAGGCAUCCUAUUCCACCACUUUGACUUUCUUUUGGAAUCGUCUUCUUUUAAAUAGAUCUUCUCCCUUGUUCUUCCCUCUUCCUAUGAUGAAGACCUGCUAAGUGAUUUUCGAAAGCUCCCACUAUGACUAAAAAGCUCCCAAUAGGCCACGUAGCAGCUUAAGCUUAUAUUAUAAUAAAGUAAGUAGGAAGGAGUGAAAGCUACUCGACAAGAUGGAAGAGGCGACCAAAGGAAGCUGGUUCACCUUCUCUCCUCUGUUACAACAUAGGUCGUUCCAAUCCCGGUUGAAAAUAUUCCAAACUGAAUUCAAGGAGGAAAGUUCCAUCGUGUCCUUCAAAGAUCGGUCUGAUAAUUGCGUAUAUAAGGUUUUACCUAACUAGCCCUAAAGGUAACUUAAUAUCCUCAAGCUCUUCUAGAUACGUUUUCUCGGGAUUUUUGCUUUCAUUAGAGUGGUAUCAGAGCUCUAUUCUGAAGAUUACAUAUAGAAUUGUUCCUCUUACGAUUUUGAGAUCCUCCGAAUCUUAGGAGGAAUAGCUAGUCAGGUUUUAGAAGAGUUAGUUUCGCGCAGGGCACCUUUACUAAUUUUGAGAUCCUUCGAAUCUUGGGAGAAAUAUCUAGUCCUUCCUUUCUUUCUCCUUCCCCAUUUCAGGUUUUAGAAGAGUUAGUUUCGUGCAGGGAACCUUUACUAAUUUUCCCCUUUCUUUUAUGGCUUGCUGGCUGGAUUAGCUUGCUUCAAGUCGCUUAUUUGUAACAAAGUACAGAGAGAAUUUAAGGUUAUCACACUUUAUUGUGACGAUUUAUAGACAACCGGGGUAUCAGCGUACUUCACGGCUAACUGAAGCUAGUGCAAAUAAUUCCUUUUCAAAAUGAAAGGCGAUAGGGGACGUACCCUAAGGAAGCAAGAAGGGAGGAUUUUCUUUACUGGCAGCAAACCCUGGCUACCUUUUGGGAGCACCUGCCUCCCAUAGAUCCUGCACUUGUGGCUGCAGCCAUGCAGUGGUUAAAUAUAGGAGCUAGAACCUUCCUUUCACGAGUGAGCCCGUGCACGAGCCUACCUUUGUUGAACCAAAAAAGGGGUACCGGCGUACCUACCAUUACCAUAUAGGGAAUGAACUGAGUUAGAGGCAUAUGCUUCCUUUACCGAUAGCCGGUACCGAACUAUCCGAAAGCCCUCUAAAAGGCUCAAGAAGAAGGAUUGGAUGAUCUCCGGAAUGAGAAACUGCAACAAUUGCCUGACCAAAGACCUACCCUUUCUUUCCCUUUCGACUGGCAUUAUCACACCGCCAUCAACAGAUUCAAUAGUUUCUCCUAGCCCGAUUCCAAGACCUGACGAGGUUUGAAAGUUCAAGCAGCCUUGAUAAACUAUAGGAAAGUACUAGUUUUCCACAGUGACAAGGACUUUGCGUGAAAGCAUUGAUUUCCGGUCUCAUGGUGGAAAAAAAGAAAGAAAGAGGAAGCACUCUUGUUCUUGUUGCGCGGACCCCACUUUAAAAAAAGAUGGAAGACCUGAGAUAAUUCUUAGCCGUUGUGGAAGUUAGCGUCAUAAAGAAAGUAAGUACUUGCUGCUCCUGCUCUUAUAGUUAGAUAAGGCACUAAAAUCAUACCUUAUCUCAAGGGCAUGUGUACACUGCUUUCACACUCGAACUCUCCUACUGUGUGCUGUGUGUGCUUUCAAGCAAAAAGACUGCUUGCUAAACGAACCACUGCUGACGAAGUGCCCCAUACCCGCACUAAGGGGUAAGUGUGUUGUGUGUGCUUUCAAGCAAUAAGACUGCUUGCUAAACGAACCACUACUGACGAAGUGCCCCAUACCCGCACUAAGGGGUAGCCUGAGAUAAGGUAUGGAAGCAGUCUAAUUAUUUCCACUUGAGUCGACUUAAGUCUUUCUCUCCUUGUAAAGUCUUGGCUCUAGUAAAGAGAAAGAAUCUCUCCCUACCCUACUGCUGGAAAAAGCACUUUCUAUCCCCCCGUGCUACAAAACAAACAAAAUUAUCUAAGCACUAAAAGCAACAAUAAGGAAUGAAAUGGGAGAAGCUAUAGUGCAGAUCACUUUUCACUUUCUCGUCAGUCCAGACCAAAACAAACUUAUCUAAGCACUAAAAGCAACAAUAAGGAAUGGAAUGGGAGAAGCUACAGUGCAGAUCACUUUUCACUUUCUCGUCAGUCCAGACCUUGGUUCUAUCAGCUAUGGAGUCUUCCUCUGGUUCUUCCCGUCUCUAGUACAAAUCAAAUCAUAGGAUCUCUGUAGGUAUGCGCUGAGGAGUUACAUCUCCCGGACGAAAGACUUCUAAAAUCUGAUUUCCGGAAUGGCAGCAAUCGACUUAUUUGUCUUAUAGCUUUCUUGUAGUACUGCUCUCUUUUCAAGCGAAUCUCUAUUUCAACUGCAUUCCCUAUAGCAAAGAAAUCAACCUCGGUUCUUUCUGUUGAUAGGUUAGUUUGAUGUAAGGUGUGAGCCUCUUCAGUUGCAGUGAAAGUUCCCGACUCUCUAGUGCUAUCCCCCCUUUUUCAGCCUGACAUUACAAAGGUAGACUUCAUCCAACGGACGUCCUGGCUUCUUUUUAGUUUUCCAAUCUUCUGUCCUUCAUUCUUGCAGAUGCAAAUCAUUGAUGACCUAGUGGCAUUUAUGCCAGACCAGAGCAUUCUUCUCAAGAAAAUAAAGCGGAGAGGGUGACUCAAUUUCACUCUUUAUCAUUCCUUACUACUCCUCAAUUCCCAUCAAGUGUUGUCUUAUUUCCCAAGCCACUGCUCAAUCCUCCUUUUCUGAUUGAUUGAAAGUAGCAAGGAAAGACAAGCAAAAACUUUGUUGGCUCAAGAAGCAACUGAGGAGAGAGAAAGAGUAGUAAAGGAAAUACAAGUAGCAGUCUCAGGUCAAAGGAAUCAAGGAAGAAUUUCUUCUGAUAUUGCGGUUACUCUUUCAGUAGAGAAAGGGUAGUAAAGGAAAUACAAGUAGCAGUCUCAGGUCAAAGGAAUAAAGGAAGAAUUUCUUCAGAUAUUGCGGUUACUCUUUCAGAAUCUCAUCAUGAGACCUAAGUAUGCCAUUCUCUUUGUCAAGAAAGAUCGAGCAGCAUAGAAGCCUUGACUUCAAGCUUAGGUCUUUUUUUCAAAAAAGGGAACUAAGGCAACUUCUAGGUGCAGGGAAAGAAAAAGGCUAUCGAACCUCUUUGGCGGUACAAUACAAAGAAUGAAGCUCGAGUAGGUUAAUUUGAGUGACCAUCAUGGCGGGUGUUCCGGUGUUAACGAGUUUGGAAAGAAGGUCAAGGAUGAACAGUAGACAAAGACAAAGGAAAGGGGAGAUGGAGCUGACCUCGAUGCUGACCUGGGAGCAGGCUUGCUAACCUUCGGCCAUAGUGACUAGUGACGAGAGAAGUUGCUUAGGGACCUACGGAGCUAGUGACCAAAGCGGAGUCAAUUCAUAUUAAAACCAGAAGAGGGAAUUCAAUUUUUUCGUGCUUCUUAAGUCGAUGUUGACCUGUAUAUAAGUUAGAUGUUGGAAAGGGAAGCCCUCAUAAUAUAAGCACUCUUUCAGUCAAGUAAUGACUUUAGAGUCUAUAGUAUAGCUGAGUAGCUAAGAGCUUCUGGUAAUUUAAAAACGUAGGAAUCGACUUCUUUUGCGUUACUGGGGCUUUGAGGGACGUCUUCUCUUUCCCUUAUCAAGCAAGUCACACCUAUUCGCCCUUUGAUGCCAUCUUGAUAACUGGACUGAAUGUCUCAUCAUAGUCUAUACCCUAUUGCUGGUUGUAGACUUUGGCUACCACGCGAGCCUUGUGGCGAUCAAUAGUCCCAUCAGACUUUGACUUUCUCUUAUGUAACCACUUGCGAGCCGAUAAACAAAUUUAUAAAUCAAAAUUUAGCACGAAAAUGGGAUGAAGCCCGAUAGAAAACUUUUGACAAAAUAAAGGACUCCAUUCUAGUGCCUACAAUGCUAGGAAGCCUUUAGAGUCUAUAGUAUAGAUAAGUAGCUAAGAGCUUCUGUUAAUUUAAAAACGUAGGAAUCGACUUCUUUUGCGUUGGCUUUGAGGGACAUCUUCUCUUUCCCUUAUCAAGCAAGUCACACCUAAUCGCCCUUGAUGCCAUCUUGAUAACUGGACUGAAUGUCUCAUCAUAGUCUAUACCCUAUUGCUGGUUGUAGCCUUUGGCUACCACGCGAGCCUUGUAGCGAUCAAUAGUCCCAUCAGACUUUGACUUUCUCUUGUAUAACCACUUGCGUGUCUAUACCCUAUUGCUCGUUGUAGACUUUGGCCACCACGCGAGCCUUGUAGCGAUCAAUAGUCCCAUCAGACUUUGACUUUCACUUGUAUAACCACUUUCGAGCCGAUAAUCAAAUUUAUAAAUCAAAAUUUAGCAGGAAAAUGGGAUGAAGCCCGCCAGAAAGCAUUUGACAAAAUAAAGGACUCCAUUCUAGUGCGUACAACGCCAGUAAGCCUUUAUUACUAUACCUAUUAGUCACCGAAACCACUAUGGGGUCUAUGUUGGCUUAAUGCGCAGAAGACAAACGGAUUAAAGGGCCACAUACUACCAACGUAAGAAAAUGACUCUGGGUAUGGAGUAGGGGCAUUGAUGAUUGCACCUGAUGAAUCGCACACCCCCAUUGCCAUAAAGCGGAACUUUUAAGGAACUAAGAAUACCACAGAAGAUGAAGCAUGUAUCCAUGGAUUAAAGACUGCCUUGACCCUGGGAAUAUAAGAAAUCGAAGUAUUUAGGGAUUCGACGCUUAUCAUCUGCCAAACUCAAAAGAAGUUAAAAACAAAAUAUGAAAAACUUUUGACAUACCAUGCUUAUCUUGAAAAUCUUACUGAGCAAUUCAAGAAAUCAGUUUCUCUCCACUACCUAGAGAAAAAAUAAGUUGGCGGAUGCAUUAGCAACACUGGCCUCCAUGAUAAACAUUCCUGAGGGAAAGUCCGCCCAAUAAUGAUAGAACAAAGAAGCAUCCCAGUGUAUUGCAACCUAAUUGAAAUUUUUGAGAUGACUCCCGGCAUGUUCAGUAGUGAUCUUUUGGCCAUUGAAAGGGCACCCAACGGUAAACCAUGGGUUACUGAUAUCAGGGAAUAUAUUGAACACCAAACGUAUCCCAAACAUGCAACGGAAAAUGAUAAGAAGACAAUCAGGAGGUUGGCAAUGCAAUUCGUUGCGCGGGGAUGCGAUUCGCCAAGUUGGGGCAAAUCUUGGUUCGACUCAAUACUCUUGUGUGUAUCCUUUGGCCACCAAUAUAGCCUUCAACCCCUCAACAGCUCCAUCAGCUUUUUGUUGUACUAUAUAGGCCCAUUUGUAGCCUAAUAUUGAUUUCCCUAGAGGAAGAGAGACUCAGUCCCAAGUAGCAAACCAUUCUAGUGCUAGGAUCUCUUUCUGCAUAGAGCUGCCAGCAGGGUUGAGAUAUGGCCUCUGCAAAGGUAUCAGCUUAAAAAAGAUGGAUGAAAUUGCAAAAAAGAUUCGUGGGAAGUAGCCAGAGACUUAGUUGAUACAAACCUAUGAAUAGGAAAACGAAGACGGGUGGAUCUACGUACCCCGAGAAUAGAAGCUAGAGAACCUAAGUCUGAAGAAGAGUCUUGGUUCGAAGUAUAGGGAGAGAGGGAGACCACUGAAUUAGUUGGCUCAGCUCUGAAAACUGAGUGACGAGAAUCUGUCUUCACAAACCUGCGAAACUUCCCCUUAAGCUGAUCAAGCUGCUGAUCACUCUGGUCACCCGGAUCUUGCUGACUCUAUUAAAUCGGAGACACACUUAUCAUGACAACAUCACCGAUCUUUGGCGCUUAUUGGGGGCCCUAUCAUACACAUGCACCACCAGAGUCUUCAUGAGAACUUUGGGGCGAGGGCCAAGGUGAACCAGGAUUAACGAUGAAAAGCGGUCAAAUCAGUAGCAAAGGCACCAGGACGGAUGGUUGGUUGAACCGGGCGAUAGCUUCGCGAUCGAUAGCUCAGUGAGGUACGCUACCCGCCCUACUUUUAAUGAUAGAUAGAAAAGGUGGGAUAGGGGCUGAGGUACGGCAAAGGUACAAAAACAAAAACUACAUGACAUACGUGCGUUAAUGGUAGGCCCAUUACGAACAAUCAAUAAGGCGAUCUCCAAUCUCGCUCGGCUCGGGGCGAUCACUUGAUCAUGGCGGGAUUGAUCAAUCUACAUCAAAAAUUCUGGCUUCCCUUCCCAUGAGCGCAUCUACAGAAUAAGGAGAGCACGCACCACACUCCUACUAUACCAGGGCCUUUAGCUUUCACUGAGAAGAAGAGAUUACUUCCAGCUAGCUUUUUUCCCUAACCCUAACCAAUGAAUGAUAGGCCGGCUUAGGAUAAUAGAAAACGAAUUCACUUUCAGUAAUCGGAGGCAGGUCAGGGGCCGGCGGGCACGCCCCCAGCUUCUUAAGUUUGGGAAUAGCUAGCGUUUUUCCCUAACCCUAACCAAUGAAUGAUAGGCUUGCUUAGGAUAAUAGAAAACAAUUCACUUUAAGGAAUCGGAGGCAGGUCAGGGGCCGGUGGGCACGCCCCCAACUUCUUAUGUUUGGGAAUUGUGCCGGACCAAUGCUACGAGCUUCCGGAAUCCAAUGGAAUCUUUGUAAAGCUGAUCAUUACGAGUGUUACGAUUCAUUCGAUUGGCAGGUCCAAUCGAUUCAUAGCCUCUCGAGCACAACCCAUAUUGAGCAAGGAUUGGUGACCGAGGAUCCAUACAGAGUUUUAUGAAAUAUCUUAGAGAUCAAGGAACAGAUGAAUUCAUCAGGAAAUAGGAAUACUUUAUUGUAGGGACAAGAAAUUUUUUGGCGUUGAAUCCGGUCAGGAAGAACAAGUUGUUCCAGCUCUGGGAAAAGAUUCAUCUUCCAAUUUUUAUUGAAUCCGGUCAGGAAGUACAAGUUGUUCCAGCUCCAAGGAAAAGAUUCAUCUUCCAAUUUUCCCGUCCUUCCAAUAUUUUUUAUUUUAGCUUCCCUCAUUCCUUUUAUUAAGCAUAAUGAUGCGAAUCGGGCUUGUUGUAUUAAGUUAACAGCGUCAAGCAGUUCCUCUUUCCCCUACCGAUGAUGUGCCGAGAAGUGCAUUGUUGGAACUGGGUUGGAACUUAAGACCAUAAGCUCUAGAUUUGGGGGUUUCCGCUAUAGCCGAACACAAGGGAAAGAUCAUUUUUAUUACCAGAAAAGAACGUUUUAUCAUGUAAUGGAUACACUAUAAGCAUUUCGUUGCUUAUGUAUUAUGUAUAAGCCUUCCAACAAACAUAACAACUUGUAUGCAUCAGGUUCAUAGGGGUAAAUACAUUCAAAAAGGAAAAAUAUUAGCGGCUAAUAUUUCAAAUAAUGAUUGCAGCGUGGAAAACUCCUUUUUUGGGGGGGUUGUCCCGACUGGUUUGCGAAAGCAAUGGGAGACUUGCUCCAUAGAACCCCCCCCCCCCCGAGACUUUUGUCCCCAGUAUUCUCUAUGGGCAAAGGCGCUCAUGUGCUCUUAAAGUCUUAUUGCCUAUAUCUUAUCUUAAGACGAGGGUCGCCACCCUGCCUGCUUUAGUCUCAAAUAAGGCGCAAAUUGAGGUUAACAGACUGGACCGAACCUCCCUACGUCAAGAGCUUUUGGCUCUUCACAAGAGAGCACGAGGUCGUAACACCGGAAGACUGCGCCAUUGUUAGUUAUUAUUAAAUGAUAUAAUUUCUUUGUAUGCUUAGUCACCAGUGGCACAACCUACGGUCUAAGUAUCGCCUUAAUGGGAGUAUGUUGUUCCUCCGUGAUAGUGUAAUACCAAGACCAGUAAGAGAGAAUGAACUUUAUCCAUUCGGACAAAACCCAUGCCCUCCUAACCAAUCGUACUCUGACCAGGCUCCGAAAAACUUCGAGAUCACCGAGUUUCUCGGGAAUCGAGGGUUUAAGAGCCUAAUCAAGUCCCCUCAAAAUACCUUGUUGAUAAGAGGUUAAGUGUUUACCAGUGGUUGCGCUUAACCAGAUCCAAAAGGGGAGAGGACACACACCGUUCGGUGAGUGAAAGACGAGGAAAUGCCGAUUCCAGUGUCUCCUAGGAGGCGCCGUGCGUCGAGUAUACACCAGAUGAAAUGCCGAUUCCAUUGUCUCCUAGGAGGCGCUGUACGUCAAGUAUACACCCGCUACCCAGCUUCCCGUAAACGAUACGAAAAUGGAAGAUCCUUAGACAUAAUAGCCCUCAUUACAUGAACAAGGGAUAUGGAAUUAACUAAGGAUCUUAACAUGUGAGAGGAGACAGGAAAAAAGUCCUUAGUCACUUCGCGUACGAAGAACCGCUUAGCAUACUCCAAAGCACCAACUGACGAUACAAACGAUUUCUCUAACGAAAAUGGAACAUUCAGUGGCGAAAUUAGCUCGCGAUAACGCUCAGCCACCCGCUCAUCUCCGAUGACGAUAUCGUCGCCGAGGAUAGCGUAGCGUGUAAAAGGAACUCCUGGAUAUACUUGGGCUGCUACGAACCAAAUCACCAAAUGGUGAGUUAAUGCGAAAGCAGGCCAAGCUCCGUAAAAGCCCAACGGGGCUCCUAUUACAAAACGAACUCUACCUCGAGGAAGCCGACGACGAGAAUUUCGAAUCGUCAGAAAAGAGUAGUAGGCAUACUUUCACAAUAGUCUUGUCCACAAGCAAAUCAAUGUUCGUAAAAGAAUAGUAGGCAUACUUUCACAAUAGUCUUGUCCACAAGAAAAUCAAUGUUCGGCAGCGGAAAAUCGUCUUUGGGAACAUGCCUUAUUGAGAUUUCAACAAUAGAUGCAUAGGUGAACACGUCCAUCCCUCUUGGGCAUGGGGACGAUGUUCGAAAUCCAAUCAGAAUAAUCUACUGCCUUAAUGAAAUCAGUAUAAUAGUAACAAGACAGCUGAAGAGAGGAUGACGUAGACAAGAAUCAACCUCUUCCCGGUGAGGUUUUGAUGUAUUGUAGAAUCCGAAAAGCAGCUUCUAAGUGAGAUAAUCUCGGCUUGUCCAUAUCAAAAUCGGCUGAUCACUUCCUAUGUUGUAAGUGUAAGCAAUGUCUGGGCGAUAAUUAGUCAGGUAGAAAAGAGUCCCAACAAGUCUCCUUGCAAGUAGAUGGGUCAUCCAAUAGCUCUCCUGCAUCUGNNNNNNNNNNNNNNNNNNNNNNNNNNNNNNNNNNNNNNNNNNNNNNNNNNNNNNNCAGAGAAAGCAAUGUCAUCCACAUAAAGCAGAAGAAGGACACAAUACCUGAUGUCGACCUCCUUAUAAACAUUGAAUGAUCCGAUUUACUUAUUUGAAAAGUGGCUCCUUCCUCUACUCCUAUUUCGGCUCUUAUACAUGCUGUUGUCACCUUUCAAACCAAGCUCUUGGUGCCUUCUUUAGCUUGCCGGAGGCCGUAACAUAAAUUGCUUUCUAGAGCUUGCAUACCAAGUUAGGAUUCCUAGGAGAAGAGAAGCAUAGAGUUGGAGGAGGCUGAAUAGAAACUUAUUCUUGCCCCCUUCCCUUAUAUUGUUGAAAGGCAUUCUAUUCUUCACGUCAAAUUGAAAUAAGGCCACCUUUUGAUUGCAGCCAAGGUAGGAAUUCCACAAAUGGUGUUUAGCAACAUGUAGCAAAUGUUUUCCCUAUCUCAAAAGGGGUUCGACUCAAUAUUCUUGAAGGAAUCCUUUAGCUGCUAAUCUAGCCUUGGAUCAAUCUACCGAGCCAUCUGCUUUAUGCUUGAUCUUGUAAAUCCACUUGCAGCCAAUGGCUUCUUUCCCUGCAGGCAAUGAGACUAAGUCUUAUUAUUUUUUUCCUGGGCAUUGAUUUCUUCCUGUAUAGCAUCUCUCCAGCAAGAAUGAUUGGAGGCUUCAGCAAAUGAUUCAGGUUCAUGAGAAGAUUGAACUGAGAUGAGGUAAGCUCGAUCUUUUGGGGAAAACGAUUCAUAAGCCUUCAACAGGAUAUGAAACUUGAGAGGAUCGACGAAGCUGAGAGCAGGAUCCAGAAUUUGAGGAAGCGACAUGAAGGGCAUCAAAUGGUCUAGACUGCUGAUCUUCUAGAGUAGCCUGACCUUGGGAAAGAGACAGUAAUCGCCGCCGAGAAUAAACAUGCUGUGCCGGGUGACAGGAAUCCUCUAUGGUCAGCUGAAGAGGCUGACAAUCGGCAGAAAGCAAAGCUGCUGGCCUGAAGAGUGAGGUUAAUCCGUAUCAUCAACUGCAGAAGAAUGAGGUUCGAGUUGAUGAACUGGAGAAGGCCGCAAUACAACUCCAUCAUCAUUCUCCCCCGGGGCUGAUUAAUUAGGUUAAGGAAAAUAUGAGGCGACCCUAUUAAAGAGAGCAUUAAGGAUACAUCGACUCUCUUGGAUUUCACGUCAUAGCAUAUAUAUACCCGGACUGAGCAUAUCCAAGAAAGACACAAGUGGUCGCCUUGGGGACAAUUUUGCUCUUAACUGCGCAGGAAUAUAUUGGAUUUCACGUCAUAGCAUAUAUAAACCCGGACUAAGCAUAUCCAAGAAAGACACAAGUGGUCACGUUGGGGACAAUUUUGCUCUUAACUGCGCAGGAAUAUGAAUAAAACACGUGCAUCCAAACACUCGCAAAUGCCUAUUAUAGUACUUCCCCCCAGUAAGAAGUUCGUGAGGUGCCGCUGCAGCUUGGAUUAUCGUAGACUAAGAGGAGUCGUCUUAGGAAAUGACUUAAAAGAUAGAUGCCGCUGCUGCGAGGCGAGGGAGCAACUUGUCUGGUCUUGCGGUGCACUCAUUCCCGUUAUGAGAAUGAAAUGACGCCCAGCUUGACUCGUGACCAAGACUCCUUACAACUCUACCAAUUGCGGCACUGAGUGGCCGGAGAUUGAUUUAAAGGGCAGGCCCAGCCGGCCCUCUGCCCCCCUAAACGCCUAUCUACUCGUGUUCGUAGCUCGAUCGGAGGUCAAGACUGUGGUCCGGCGGAAAAACAGAAGUCGUCCGUAUCAAGUGAUACGUGAAUUGCUCAGUAGUGCUUCGCCACUACCCUAGCUGGCGGAAAUAGCUUAAUGGUAGAGCAUAGCCUUGCCAAGGCUGAGGUUGAGGGUUCAAGUCCCUCCUUCCGCUCCUGGCUUCGUCGUUUAGUGGUAACAAUGUAUCAAGUGAUACGUUAAUUGCUCAGUAGUGCUUUGCCACUACCCUAGUUGGCGGAGUUAGCUUAAUGGUAGAGCAUAGACUUGCCAAGGCUGAGGUUGAGGGAUCAAGUCCCUCCUUCUUCUCCUGGCUUCGUCGCUUAGUGGUAACAAGUUCCGUGCAUAAGCCACUUUAGAGAUAGGGGCGAGCAGCAAGCAGCCCCUUGUAUAGGGUGGAAAACCUAUCUGACUAAUAAGAGGAAAGGGGCAAGCCAAAACUGACUCCUAACAAGUUGCUGGCUUUUCAUCAGCCGUUGCGCGCUAGCGCGCUAGCCUUUUCCCAACCUAGUAAAGGGGCUGCUAGUUGUAGCGCGCAGUGUACUAGUGAAUAGGAAAAGCGAAUUGAGAUUACUAAUGACGGAUGGAGGUUGAGGGUAGAACAUGUUCGGGCCUAGUAAAGGGGCUGCUAGUUGUAGCGUGCAGUGUACUAGUGAAUAGGAAAAGCGAACUGAUAUUACUAAUGAGAGAUGGAUGUUUAGGGUAGAACAUGUACGGUGCCUCGCCCUUGUCUCCUUCGUCGUAGACUGAAAAUGAUAGGGAAUCCUAUCGAUAAACAAGAGGCAUAAGCAUCGCCUCUCGAUCCAAUCCAUCUUCCCUCGCCUCCCCAACACACUCUUGAUACGAAAGUUCCCGCCAUAGAGAAGAGAUCGAAAGUAUGGGUCCCCUCGAUCACCCUCCCUUGAACCUGAACUGGUCGAGAGAGAUGAACCCGCACCACAUUUUUCGAAUCGAAACCCCCAACUAGAGAUGGAAUUCCAGAACCUAAAUAACUCAGUUGAGAGCUCCGUGACUGGUUCAAGGGAAGGUCAACCAAUGAUUGAUAGGACAUUCCCUCCCUAUCCGUCUCUUGAUCCCUCAUUCAACUAAUUCGUUGUUAUUGAUUCAUUCAAGGCAUAAACUCUCCAUUUCUUUGUCUUAUUAGCGCAGGUGUUCGUCAACAAUGAAAGCUGCUGAACUUCAGACUCGAGCGGAGAAAGAGGGCUUGGCCCCCGGAGAGCUUUCAGGGACAGGGGAAGACGGGUGGAUUAUAGAGCUAGGGUAGGGUCAAAUCAAAGGCCCAUCUGGAUUGGGCAUGGAUGAGCCUCGACUGGGCCAGCAUUGAUGAAAAAAGAAAAACUUCCCCCAUCGCAUCAUUAACCUGUGUAGGAUUCAAGAUCAGGUCCAGGAUUCGAGUCAAAUCGACCUUCCCUGUCAUCUCAGGGUGAGGCAAGGAAUUGUUUCAAAUGUUCAUUGUUCAAUAUCUUGGCUGCUCAAGAAGUUUGACUAGUUGCUCCUCCGACCCGAAGUGGAUUCUAGGGGAAGGGAAGUUGUUCAAUAUCUCGACUGCUCAAGAAGUUUGACUAGUUGCUCCUCCGACCCGAAGUGGAUUCUAGGGGAAGGGCAGAGCCUCACCUUGCAGUUGGAAGGUGUUCGUUGUCGGGACGGGUAGAAACUGGACUGAAGGGAGGAGGAAAAAAGGAGUCCUCUCUUCCUCUUCCUAUCGAACCAGACACUGAAUACCUGGGGAUUCAUAAAAGGCUAGGGCUUUCGAAUCAACGCAUGGGCAUCUGCUAUUAAGAGGGAGCAGUAGAUCGUCGAUUGAAGAGCCUGGUCAGUAAACUUCUAUUGGGACUUCUAUUGAUUAUUAAUUUGACUCUAGGGACUCCUAACAGCAAACUAGUCUAAAAAAAGGGGCCCCCAUAGAGAGGCAGGAGCCGCCAGCCGGAUCGACCAACAAAUGAUAGGCCAGAGAGAUGGGCUCAUUCGACUAAUCAGUGAUCCCUGGGCUUACCUAACACAGAUGUCCCUGAAAUAGGGGAUUGGUUGAUCGGAAAGCUCACUGCUAGGCAAGAGGAUAGCAAGUUCCAAAUUCUGUCUCGGUAGGACAGAUUGGUUAAUCGGAAAGCUCAGGCAGGAGUAGGACAUUCCAUACAAAUCUUUCUUAUCCGCUAGCUGGUGGUCCUCUCCUUAGAGUCAAGUGGAUUUCUUAUAUGUUGAGGUCCGCGUAGCGAUGGUGUUGUGUAAGCAGGAUGACUCUUUAGUUUCAGAACAUAUAUCGCACCUUAGUUGUGCUUGAGCUCGUUAGCUUAUGGCGCUAUAUGUCUCCAUAGGAAUAGUAUCAUGCACUUAGCGUGCUUGUGACCAAUAUUCGGUAUUUUUGUAGUAAAUAGAAAUUUAGCUCGUUUGUAUCUCCUUGUGUGAAUUUUAUGUGUGGAUUGGUUGGCAUGCCACCGUGUCUCCAUAGGGAUAGUAUCAUGCACUUAGCGUGCUUGUGACCAAUAUUUGGUAUUUUUGUAGUAAUUAGAAAUUUAGCUCGUUUGUAUCUCCUUGUGUGAAUUUUAUGUGUGGAUUGGUUGGCAUGCCACCACAAGUAUGUUAUUUGGAUCGGGUUGCAUGCCACACACAACUUUCUAUAUCCUAUUUGUAUGUGUCUCGUUUCCCAUUUUCUAAAGAAAGGUCGUAUUAGUGCGUGAGUUGAGUAGUCCCUUCCAGAUUUCGUUUUCCUUAUAUAUCACGUUUGAGUUCUUAGCCUACUGGCACAUUGUGGUAUCAUAUGAGACUUUAGAUCCUAUCCAUGGUGGCUUAUUACUUUAACAUCUCAUGCUGGGUGAGACGAGAUCAUUGGAUUUAGGAUCAGUUGAAUCUGAUUAUGUGAAGUAUAUUAAGCAGCAAAGACCAUUAUUUGGUUCAUAAUAAGGUGAUGGUUCUUUUCAGUAGUAUGGACCCAAUGAUUUGUUGAUUUGGCAGUUGGUUAUGAAUUUCUACACAUCUAUUUCGUUAUGGUGGUAUUGUAAGUGUUAGAGCAAGACCUAUUUAUGUCAUGGAGUGCGUUGGGAGCAUCAAAUUCGUGGAAUUUCGACUAUUAUGAUGAGAGAACGUUAUUCUGGUCCUAUGACUAACGCGGUGCAAGGUGUGAAUUUAGCAAAGGUAUGCAUCAUGUUCUGGCACAUCGUGUGGUGAUUGAUACGAUUUCGUGGAAUUUCGACUAUUAUGAUCAGAGAAUCUUAUUGUGGUCCAGUGACUAAAGCGGUGCAAGGUGUGAAUUAAGCAAAGGUAUGCAUCAUGUUCUGGCACAUCGUGUGGUGAUUGAUACGGUGUUUGUAUGUUGAAAAUAGGCCUAGCAGAGAAUUUCGGAUGUUGGAAUUGGACUCAAAGGCUUAUUUGCUUAAGUGAAAAAAGCUUUAGAUUGAUCAAGCUAAGGUGCCCAGCUAAGUUGUAGUAUAACGGGUGGGUGCUCGAGGUGUUAAACAGUGAUGUUGGACAACUCCAGCGCAGUUCUCAGCACAUUCGAGGAGAACGAAUAUUUAAGUGAGAGAGAAUGUAUUGACCUGAUCAUUCGUUUUGAGCUCUAGUGCAUCUUUCAACAAUUUGAGGCCAUGAGAAGCUUCACUUCAGGUAUUAUGACUUGUACGUGUGAUCACAAUUGAAUUUCGGGAAGUUCAGAGUCGAUUUUUGAAAGAGGAUUCUCAUUUCGAAAGCUUUAAGUUAGAAGAACUGACUAAGGUUAGAUUUUUUAGUAAAUGACCUUAGAAUCAGAAUUUAAAGGUUCGAACAGGUUCGUACGAUGAUUUUGGAAUUUUGAGUAAAUGACCUUAGAAUCAGAAUUUAAAGGUUCGAACAGGUUCGUACGAUGAUUUUGGAUUUGGGCGUAUGUUUGAAUCGGAUUUUGGAUGGUCCUGGAGCGUUUCGAUGCCUAUAGCGAAAGUUAACAUUUUUUGAAGAAUUUUAUAAGUUUGGGUUGAAGUGCAUUUCACUGUUAUCAGUGUCCGUUUGGGAUUUUAGAGUCUGAGAAUAUCUCCAUAUGGUGAUUCUGGUGUUGGGAGCGUGAUCGGAGGUGAAUUCGGAGGUUCGUGGGUCAUUUUGGAGUCAAUUGGCUAAAGAUAGAAAUUUGAAGGAUUUUUGAGAAAAUUGAUUGGAAAUGGACUUUUUGAUAUCGAGGUCGAAAUCCGAUUUCAGAAAUCGGGGUAGGUCUGUAUUGUCAAAUAUGACUUGUGUGCAAAAUUUGAGGUCAAUCGGACGUGAUUUGAUAGGUUUCAGCAUCGAAUGUAGAAGUUUGGAAUUGUAAAGUUUUAAGCUUGUAUUGGAGUUCAAUUCAUGGUUUUGCGUUGUUUGAUGUGAUUUGAGACCUCGAGCAGGUCCGCAUUAUAUUUUGGGACUAGUUGGUAUGAUUGUUGGAGUCCCAGAGGCCUCGGGUGGAUUCCGGAUGGUUAACAGAUCAAAAUUUAAAUUUUGAAGAAGAAUUGAAGCAGCUGGUAUCUGGGAUAACCGCACAUGCGAGGUUUUGGCUGCAAGUAAGGAGCCGCAGAAGUGGCCCUGGUGUCGCAGAAGUGAAAAUUGAUGGGUUUGGCUGGGGGCGUAGGUGCGAUGCAGCUUCCGUAGAAGUGAGACCAUAAAAGCAAUCUUGGCCCCGCAGAAGUGGUCGUGGGCGAGUUAGAUGAGACCGUACCUGCGAUUGAGAUUUCUGCAUGUGCGAAGCCGCAGAAGUGGCAGGUGGACCGCAUGUGCGAAGAGUGGGCCGGGCAGUGUGUUCUUUUAAAAUCGAGGGUUUUGGCUCAUUUUCACCAUUUUUCCUCCAUGGAAUCCGAUUUUGGAGCAACUUGGGAGUGCCAUUUUCAUCACCAAGCAUACAUUUUGGAGCAUUGAGGCAUCGAUUUGAGUCGUCAAAAGGGCUUGGAAGCCGGUUUUGAAACUUCGGAGCGAGUUAAGUCUCCUUUCUAACCUAAUAAGAGGGAAUGGUCCUCAUAGGUGAAAUAAUUGGUUAUAUGCUUCUCUUUGUGGGGGCUUCGUACGCAAGAGGUGAUGAGACUCCAUAUGUAGCUACUAUUAUAUUUAAGUCUGCGGGUUUCCGAGGACAUGACCCUUGAUAGGAAAGUCUGGAGGUCUAGUAUCAGGGUUGUAGGAUAGGGGCCCCUAGAGUUUUCGUACUACUCACCGGNNNNNNNNNNNNNNNNNNNNNNNNNNNNNNNNNNNNNNNNNNNNNNNNNNNNNUGUUUUCGUACUACUCACCGGGGGUUGGGUGAGGCUUGGUAGGGCUAUCCAUAGAUGAUUCGUAUUUUGGAUUGUGUCUCCCUUAUGGUAGUUAUUUAUGGUAGUUACUGUAUGAUAUUAUUGCAUGCUAUUUUAUUUAUGGUUCUUAUGUUUAGAAAAUUAUUUACGCUAUUUCUGUUGGACUUACAAAUGCUCUUUUGUCUUUGUUUUUGUUUUUCCUUUCCUACACUGAGUCGAGGAUCGAUUGGAAACAGCCUCUCUGCCCUUUCGGGUAGGGGUAAGGUUCGUCUACAUAUUNNNNNNNNNNNNNNNNNNNNNNNNNNNNNNNNNNNNNNNNNNNNNNNNNNNNNNNNNNNNNNNNNNNNNNNNNNNNNNNNNNNNNNNNNNNUCUCCCCAGACCCCACUUUGUGGGACUAUACUGGGUAGUAGUAGUAGUAGUUGUUGUUGUAGUCGAGGACCCAAAAGCAUGCUAUACUUGGAAUAUUUUUAAUCUUAUUGACAGUUUGAAUUGCGUAAUUAACAUCUAAUUAGUAAGUGAACUUCUAAAAAGAUUAAACUUCAUUUUCUUAAGUUGUUAAAAGAGAAUUGGCUUUUCUUUGGAUAAUUAUUUCCUGAUGACUUCUUGAUUGACUGUCUGUGUGUUAAAUUUGGAACAUGCCGAACGCCUCGCCAGAUUAAAUAUAUGCAUCUAUGGUUCGCGCCAUUCUAUCCUCUGGCAGUAACACUGUCUAAGUAUUUGUUCGAUCGGAUCAUACGACCUCGGCAUGAUUUGAUAAAUAAUGGAUUAUGAAUUUGGAGACUUCUGAAUAUAAAAAAGGAAUGUUUACUUGUUUCUUGACUUACUUGAGUUUACUGUCAUUUUUAAUAAAUCCAUGAUUACUCGCAUUAUUAAUAUAUUAUUAUUGGACCACUUGUAAGUAUCAAAGUCGACCUUUCGUCUCUACUUCUUCGAGGUUAGACAUGAUACUUACUGGGUACACGUCUACUAAAAAUUACAACUAUGACAACCCUUCUAAAACUGUUACAAUAGACACGAUAACCGUCCCUAUUGAGCUAUUGGGACGGAUUGGGACGCGUUCUAAGAUCCAUCAUUACAACAGGUCUAUUGGAACGGUUAUAUGUAACGAUUUCAAAACUGUCUCCAUAUAGCUUUAUUGUAACAGUUAUGGAACUGCUAGCCAUCUAUCUAUGGGAACGAUUUUCUGUGUUUUUGGGACGGUUAUAAACCAUUGUUUUAUCAUAAUACCAGCGCUUUUUUAAGGCUAUUGCAACGGUUAUUGGAACGAAUUUUGUGAUAUAUUGAACAAUUAUCAGUACCCUAUUGCAAUGGAUAUUCCAACAUAUCGCAACAGUUAUUAGGGGCUACUGUUAUUAUUUUCCAGGUAUAUUGGAACGGUUAUAUUCUCUAUUCCAACAAUUGACAAUUGUAAUUUCUGAUAUUUAUAGAAGCAAAAUAUUUUUUAUGCUAUAACUUAAAUAAAUCACAAAAUAAUAUUAAAAUAUUGAACGGUUAUAUCCUCUAUUGCUAUAAUUCACAAUUGUAAUUUCUGAUAUUUAUAGAAGCAAAAUAUUUUUUAUACUAUAACUUAAAUAAAUCACAAAAUAAUGUUAAAAUAUCCAACUAAUGUUAUCCAUAUACGAAACAAAAUAUGAAUAUAUUAUUUGAUCAACAAUUCAAAAGUCAAAAUAGAUGAGUUUGCAUACAAAAAGUUCUAAACUAAAAUAUCCUUAAACAUGAUAAUAAAAAGGUAAAAAUUGCAUGGGCUAGCCAGUUUUCUUCGUCAAUACUUUCACCCGCAACCACUGCACCUACAAAAGACAAUCAGAAAUAAAUUAACAAUGUUUUUAAGAUAAUUGAUCACAGAGUAAUUGGCUGACCAAUUUGAUAACUCCAAAAUUUUUAACUCUCUAAUUCUUUAAUUUUUUCGCAGAGUUUCUUUUGUAAAUAUGACUAUCUCAAAAUUUUCAACCUGCGCAAAACAUCAUUUGUAAUAAGACUAUUCCAAAAUUUUCAACCAACUCACAACAUGAUACAAUUUCCAUGCAAAAACUAAGAUCCAUCCAGAAAUCAUAAGAUGAGUUACUGUACUUUAAGCAACAUACAACAAACCAAAAUCCGCAAUAGACGAACCAAAUCAAACAACUCUCCAAUCUGUUAUAUUUUAAGCAAGAUAACCUGCCUUACAUCUUCGAAUAUUAAUACUGCAAUCGACGAACCAAAUCAAACAACUCUCCAAUCUGUUAUAUUUUAAGCAAGAUAACCUGCCUUAACAUCUUCGAAUAUUAAUACAUCACCUAAAAAGCAAGACAAUGUGUAUCCUCUUACAUGUAAUAUACUGCGUAUAGCUACAUUAGUAACAAUAAGGACAAUAUUAAGGAAACUACAUACACCAACCUAACAUAAAGGGAACUCUAUAAUUCCGUACUAAUGACAUGAUCUGAAGAAUUCAAGCAUGACAUGCGAGAUGAUAUAACAAAUUACAGGCAUAAAUUUGAAACAGAAUCCAUUAGAUAUCCUAGAUCUGCUAAGAUAUACUCACAUACAUAAGUUAAGAGCAUAAAUAAGAACCAGAAUCCAUUUGCAUCAGAAACCAAACUUCAAGGCACAGUAACUUCUACAAACAAACAAAAAACAAAACAAUUACCUGGACAUAUGAUUGUAUAGAGCUCGGUUCCGGAUGACGUAUGAUGCACAAGGGGUGCUUUAGCAUUCAUAGGUAAGUAAAGUAUCAGUUCUGGGUAGUAGCACCACCAGUUAGACGAACAUUCAUACUACCAAUUUGUGGGCAAAAAAACAAGAAAAAUCCAGUGGACGAGUAAUAAUCUCCCUUUCAUUAGUGAUAGCAGGGGAUAUGGACCAUCAACUUCAUACGAAGAACUAGGCAAUCAGCUGGAUCUCUAGGCCAUCAAGAAGGAAUUAAGUAAUAUGAAGUAGAUACUCGGACCUAAGUAACUUAAUUAAGUAAUUUGAAGUAGAUGCUGGAACACACUGAUAUCCUUCAACUGACCAGAACUUACACUGCUCUUUCAGCUGUUGCCCUCAUAGUCCUUUGUUGAGUGCUUGACAACAAAAAUCAAAAGAUAUCCAUUAGAUAGUGUGUCAACAUAAACAAUUAGUGAAACAGAAACUGCAAGAUAAGCAAAGAUGACUUCAGAAUUAGCAUGUUAAUUUUUCCCACCCAAGUUUCUGCAAUUUGCAUCUGGAUGGCUGAAGAAAGAGCACUGACCAUGAGGAGAUUGCACUACAAAUUGGCUGUGAUAUGGAACUCCAGGAAGUAGCAAAUCAAGAGGAGAUUUUCUGGAAACAGAUAUCCCGGGUACAGCAGUCCAGCAAGGAGAUAAGAGUACCAGUUUAUUUUAAAAAGAUGGCCAAUAUCCGCAGGGGAUAUAAUCACAUCGACAGGCAGUACAGCAGCUUCAGCAAGGAGAUAAGAAUACCAGUUUAUUUUGAAAAGAUGGCCAAUAUCCGCAGGGGACAUAAUCACAUCGACAGGCAGAAAACAAAUGACAUAAUCAUUGUUGAAACAUAGGAAAUCACAACAACUAUCAAAUAAGUUCCUUAAGAAUUUAUACAGGAAAUCUGAAAGGGGGAGACCAGGACAAUCUCUCUCACCUAUCAGUGGAAGAGGAGGACUUUCUCCGUUCUCUGAGGAACAAGUUUGUCCUAAUCGAAUCAUAAAGCAGAGAGUACAAUUCUCCUAUGCCACCCAAAAAAAAACUUCAAAAUGCCCCCACAAGCAUCAGUACCCCAAGCUCUCUCCUCUCAUUGUGGCUUCUAUAUAAGUAAUAAAGUAAAACAAAGUAAACUAAUUCAAAAAAAGGCCCAAAACAUUAGUCCUAGACUUGACCAAUUUUUAAUUGCACUUCAACAACAACAACAACAACUACUACUACCCAAUAUAGUCCCACAAAGUGGGGUCUGGGGAGGGUAAUAUGUAGACGGGCCUUACCCCUACACGAAAGGGUAGAGAGGCCGUUUCCAAUCGACCCUCGGCUCAGUGAAGGAAAGGAAAAAUAAAAACAAAAACAAAAGAGCAUUAGUAACUCCAGC
rnacentral:lncRNA from 1 species